ACUCCUACGGGAGGCAGCAGUAGGGAAUCUUCCACAAUGGGCGCAAGCCUGAUGGAGCAACACCGCGUGAGUGAAGAAGGGUUUCGGCUCGUAAAGCUCUGUUAGUUAAAGAAGAACACGUAUGAGAGUAACUGUUCAUACGUUGACGGUAUUAACCAGAAAGUCACGGCUAACUACGUGCCAGCAGCCGCGGUAAUACGUAGGUGGCAAGCGUUAUCCGGUAUUUAGUUGGGCGUAAAGAGAGUGCUAGGUCGGUUUUCUAAGUCUGAUGUGAAACGCCUUCGGCUUAACCGGAGAAGUGCAUCGGAAACUGGAUAACUGAGUGCAGGAAGAGGUAGUGGAACUCCAUGUGUAGCGGUGGAAUGCG
rnacentral:rRNA from 1 species